UACGUAGGUGGCGAGCGUUGUCCGGAUUUAUCGGGCGUAAAGCGCUCGCAGGUGGUUCGUUGCGUCGUGCGUGAAAGACCCCGGCUCAACUGGGGAGGGUCGUGCGAUACGGGCGAACUGGAGGCCAGUAGGGGGAUGCGGAAUUCCGGGUGUAGUGGUGGAAUGCGUAGAGAUCCGGAGGAACACCAGCGGCGAAGGCGGCAUCCUGGACUGGUCCUGACACUCAGGAGCGAAAGCGUGGGGAGCAAACGGG
rnacentral:rRNA from 1 species